GUCUGGAUAGCUUAGUGGUUUAGAGCAGUUGCCCGGAAAGCGAAAGACUCGGAUUCGAUUCCGGAUCCUGCCA
rnacentral:tRNA from 1 species